rnacentral:misc_RNA from 1 species
GAAAGAUUAGGGAUUCAAAUUUCUAAUCUUAAUGUUAUUGUUUGUGUUACUGUUAAUUAUUUGAGCUGUUGUGCUAGGGUUAUGGUCUUAAUGGUCUUUUUUUAUCGGUGUUUUGGGUGUUUUUGUAAUGGUAUUAUUUUUGCUGUUGUUAAUAGAUAGUGGGAUAGAGUUCAUAGUUUGUGGAUAAGCUGUUUUCAUUUUCAAUUUCAGUUCUAGAGUUGGGCUGUUUCCGGUGUUAAUUGUUUGCUUCAGUGUUGAAUUAUGAUAUUGUGGAAUUAAAAACCAUUAUAAUGAACGCGGUGGGUUGGGCGUGGGAGGUGUUUAGAUUAACCACCACUUGGAUGGUGUCUUAAUUUUCCCAUUCCCUUACAUUCAUCCACAAGUAAAUGGUUUCAUAUUGAGCAGAGAGUAUUGUUUAGUUUUAUUUUAUAUUUUAGCUGCUGUUAUAAAUGCUUAUUCUAUUUUGAAAGUUUGCAAUCAGUGACUUAGGAAGAAAUUCAGGCUUGUUUUCUGGCAGUUUUAAUAGUGUCUUUUUAAGUUGAAUAUCUUGUGUUUGAAUAGGGAAAGGGGAAAUCA